CCUCCUUUUAAGGGAGACCAACUGACAUCAAGAUAAGAUAAUAUAUUCUUGAAAGUUCAGUCAUCCUUUUUAAAGGUCGGUCAUGCGAGGAAAAAAGAUCGAAAGCUUUUCAACUAUACUUAUGGUUCGUAAUAUUUUGCGGAAAUUCUCAAGCCAAGCGGGGGCUAUUAGCUCAGGUGGUUAGAGCGCACCCCUGAUAAGGGUGAGGUCCCUGGUUCAAGUCCAGGAUGGCCCAGGUAAUUAAAAGCCAAAAAUAUCAACCCCAAAAAUAAGGGGGUAUAGCUCAGUUGGUAGAGCGCUGCCUUUGCAAGGCAGAUGUCAGCGGUUCGAGUCCGCUUACCUCCACCAGCAGGGUUGAGAGUGAAAGAAAACAAAAAGAAAAGAAUUGAAUUCAGCAACUAGACUUGCUUGUAAGAAUUAACUUGAUAAGUAAAAGUAAUUAAGUUAAAAUAAUCAAGUCAGGAUGCUGGGGUCAAGACUCCAGAAAAACAGAACCUUGAAAACUGCAUAGAAAAAGUACAUCAAAGCCAAAAAGAGUAAUUGUAACUAAAAAGCAAUUAACAAGCUUUGAUGGUGAGAAAAGUUGGAAAAAACUAAUCUUACUAAUCAAAGCACUGACUGUUCAGGAAUUGGCUAAUGAGAUUUAGAGAUUAAAUUCUCAGUGAUUGAAUUAGUCAAAAGUCAGAAAAAAAGCUAGUAACAACAGACCACUGGUUACUAGCUAGCUAAAAAAAACAACAAACAAGUGGUCAAGCUAAAAAGGGCUAACGGUGGAUACCUAGGCACACAGAG
rnacentral:tRNA from 1 species